rnacentral:rRNA from 1 species
UACGUAGGGUGCGAGCGUUGUCCGGAAUUAUUGGGCGUAAAGAGCUCGUAGGCGGUUUGUUGCGUCGGCCGUGAAAACCUGCAGCUUAACUGUGGGCCUGCGGCCGAUACGGGCAGACUUGAGUUCGGUAGGGGGAGACUGGAAUUCCUGGUGUAGCGGUGAAAUGCGCAGAUAUCAGGAGGAACACCGGUGGCGAAGGCGGAUCUCUGGGCCUUGCCUGACGCUGAGGCGCGAAAGCUAGGGGAGCGAACAGG